rfam:Mycobacterium kansasii 824 gmk824.contig.2, whole genome shotgun sequence.
GGCCAGUUUCUUCGGGCGGAGCUCGACCGCCAACACAAGAAAUAGUGGCCUUCAUCGACGCCCAGCGCGGCGAGUUCGGGGUCGAGCCCAUCUGCACCGUGCUGCGCAGCGCAGGAGUGUCGGUGGCCCCG